GAAAUGCGAUAAGUAAUGUGAAUUGCAGAAUUCAGUGAAUCAUCGAAUCUUUGAACGCACAUUGCGCCCGCCAGUAUUCUGGCGGGCAUGCCUGUUCGAGCGUCAUUACAACCCUCAGGCCCCCGGGCCUGGCGUUGGGGAUCGGCGGAAGCCCCCUGCGGGCACAACGCCGUCCCCCAAAUACAGUGGCGGUCCCGCCGCAGCUUCCAUUGCGUAGUAGCUAACACCUCGCAACUGGAGAGCGGCGCGGCCACGCCGUAAAACACCCAACUUCUGAAUGUUGACCUGGAAUCAGGGAGAAAUACCCGCUGAACAUAAGC
rnacentral:misc_RNA from 1 species